rnacentral:rRNA from 1 species
UACGGAGGGUGCAAGCGUUAAUCGGAAUUACUGGGCGUAAAGCGUGCGUAGGCGGUUAUUUAAGUCAGAUGUGAAAGCCCCGGGCUUAACCUGGGAACUGCAUUUGAUACUGGAUGACUAGAGUUGAGUAGAGGAGAGUGGAAUUUCAGGUGUAGCGGUGAAAUGCGUAGAGAUCUGAAGGAACACCAGUGGCGAAGGCGGCUCUCUGGACUCAAACUGACGCUGAGGUACGAAAGCGUGGGUAGCAAACAGGAUUAGAUACCCUGGUAGUCCACGCCGUAAACGAUGUCAACUAACCGUUGGGUUCUUAAAGAACUUAGUGGUGGAGCUAACGUAUUAAGUUGACCGCCUGGGGAGUACGGCCGCAAGGCUAAA